CGGGGACCAGGCACGGCGCUGCCCGAGGAAGGGCAAGGAAAUGGCGGCCGGGGGCUGCCUGCGCCCGCCGGGUGGUCCUGCCCGCGUGUCAUCGCCACAGGCAGAGGGAUCGGGGUUGGGGGUGGCCCACCAGGGUCGGGCGGCUGGGAGAGGGGUCUACAAACGCUGUGGGUCUUCUUUGUCUGCCUUAGGUCCUGCAGGAGUCAUGUUUGUGUUACUUCCCCGCAGCUCUCGAGGUGUACGCGCGCGCGCCGCCUGUGGAGGGUAGGAAGUGCCUUUGCUUCUGAGGCCAGGGAAGAAGGAACAGCAACCUGAGAUUUUACAAGAUAAAUGCAACAGUAAGAAGUUAACAACGUUGGUUAUAAGCAAAGAGAAAACAGGUAGUAAAGCAAAAAGAAGAACCUCAAAGUUGUAAUAUGCCAGGUGGAUGUAAAACGUGUCUAUGCGUUUUCUGCCAAAAUGUUUGUUCUGGCUUUUGUGUUAAGUCACUGUUAAAUUAUAUAGUGUUUCAGUUACUGCGUAUAUCCCUAAGUAUCCUUUUUUGUUGUUACCUCCAAAACAAGAAGGGUGUUUGUUAAAAUUAAGAUUUUUUUAAAGUAUAAAUUAAAGUUUAAUUUAGCAUGUCUUUAAUUUAAAUAGAAUUUAAAGCACAGCAUAGUCUAGGUUUUAGUGUUGUCAUUAUAAUAGUUUUUAACAACUUGUAAUAAAAAUUAUAGAGUUCGGAGCUUAAUAGGAAAUGUAAAAAUAUCUGAAUUUUCAGGUCUUGAAUAAGAUUUGCCAGUCAACGAAGUAAAUCUGUCAUGUAUAUGUGCAAAUGGAAUAACUCAUAGUAUAUGUAAAUGUUGAAUGAAUUAGUUAGGUAAAGUGAAUGGAGGUAUUAAUUUAUCUUCAUUGUUCACUUUGUGUGAAUUCACUUCAGAAACUUAAGGACAGAGCUUUUGUCAUAUUCCUAAUUCAGCAUGGCCUAACCAUGACCAACAAGGUGAGGGGCAGUUCACACCUCCUCUGGCCAAGCCCCAUCAAGAGUGCGCUGCAUGAGCUGCCUACUCAAGGUGACGCUGCAGCAAGAGCUGCCAUUCAGAACUUGGAAACCCAACCAAUAUGGAUAAAAGUAUCAGCAGUAAUGUGUGUCUUUAGUUUUUGCAUUUCAGCAGUUCAGAUUUCACUGAAAAUUCUUUGGGAUCUUCAGCACAUGGAAGAUUAGAAUCAGUAAUUUAGUAUUAUAAUGAAGACUAAUUAAGGCCUUUCCAAGAUACCAGAAGGUGAUCAAGGAAAGCUCUCUUCUUCCUUUGCAAGUCUAGUCUGCUGCUAUUAGAUUAAAUGAAGCGCAACUCAUGGUUAAUGAAGUUUUUACUAUUCUAUUGAAAUAAAAUUUAGUCUCUUAAAAUGCUUCCCUUUCAUACACAAUUUCUGUCCAUACUUUAUCUAUUUUAGCAUAAUCAUAACCCAUAUUUAGCCCAGAAAAAUGUUUUUAGAUUUUACUAAUUUCAAAACAUUGUCAAGUAGACACACCAGUGUAUCUUCUGUAUGUAUUGACAGCCUAAUUCGCAUGCCUAUAAGUUCAUCUAAGACUCUUUCCACUAAUGCAUAGAAAACAAAUGACCUUUCAGGGAAAUACCUAUCAGUGUUUUAAUCAAUGCUGCUGCUUUUCGGUUAGGAUUAUUAAAAAUCUCAAACAUUAAUCUCCUAUAAAUGCAGAACGACAGUCAUUUUAGAUACUGGUUUCUUUGGAGUCCAGUUGAUUUGUAGGAGUACAUACCGGAGUGAUUAAUGAGAUUUCAGUAACUUUUUGCAUAGCUUCUUACCUAAAGCAAAUAAAAUAAAAGUCAAUAAACAAACAAAAACCCCAAACCAGCAAGGGCAAAUUAGUUGUGUGCCUUUCACUGCUUCCUGUAAAAUCUUACACUGACUCCUAAAGGUUUCAUUUUGCAUGAAAGCUAUUUAAGCAAGAGUUUUAGCAGAUGAAGAAGACAGUUGAAGAACUUGUGAAUGUUUCUUAGGUUCUGCUUUAUAAAGUCUGUUAGGCACACUUGGCACAGGCUAUGAGUCUGACCCUGAUUUCCAAGCACGUGAAUGGUCAAAAUAAAAUGCCAUUUCUGUAAUACUUUUUUUCCCUUUUUUUUGAAGUGUAUAUUAGGCACACAUCUGAAGAAACAGUAUUUUACUCCUUUAUUUUAAGUUUAGGUAGCAGUCACAAGAGAUUAGAUGCUGUUAAGUGUAAUGAAGCAUGAAGAUUACAAGAUGAAUGAACUGGAGGCUUUUCAGCUCGAUAGCAUCAUUCAGCACAUAAUGAUACAGAUUUUGUAUUUCAGACAAAAAUGUCACCUUGGGGUUGAAAUCAUGCUAGAUGAAUUUGUGCGAACUUGUUUUGUAGUCAACCACUGGAUCCCUUAGCUCAAGAAGAAGGAAGAAAGAUAAUGAUUCAAUUAACUAAAACUGCUGCUUUGAAAAAUGUGUUUUCCAGUGUAAAACUUAUUUUAUUCAUCCCUAAUUAUCCACUGCUGAAAACUGUUAACUGUUAUUAAGGAGAAAUAAGUCUGAGGUUUUGGGAGCAUGGCAAGUUUUUCCUGCUAUAAGCUCCACAAUGAUCUUUUCCUAUACUAAUCCUAGAUGGUGUAUGUUUUCCUUUAUUUCUACCCAACUUUCCUUUUUAUUUGUAAUAUAUGUGUGAAAUGUUCAAAAAUUACUGCUUUAAGAGCAGUUAAGAUAUUACUACCUCAAAAACACAUCAUUGUUCCAUACAGUUGUAUUUGUUUUGCUGAGUAGGUUCCAGCUCAGUUACAGAAGAAGUUACAGAUAAUGCAAAAAAACCGUCUUAGAGCAGCAGCUGUUGCUAUAGGCAGAUUGGCCAAAAGCCUGUCCCUAUAUUUCUUUACAUGGAAACAAAGGGAUAGAUCUAUGUAUUGUCUGAAUAGAGAACAUGAUGUUGUUGUGUGCCUGUGACAAAAAAUACAAUAGUAUUUUUUUUGAAAAGUAUACUUACUUAUGGAUUAAAAAAAAUUGGAAUAUACCAUGUAUUAAGCUUGUAGUUGAUCAAGAUCAGUUAUUCUGGUUAUGUUCCUUCAGAGAUGAGAGUUUUAGUGACAGGGUAAAAUACUUCUACAUCUGUGGAAUUUAAAGCCUGCUACUGUCAAGUUGCCAGGACCCUUAAAUGUGUGCUGAAGUGUCCUUCUCUCUUUUAGUAAAUUAAAAAUGUUUAUACUUACUGUCACAAGUAGUAGAAGAAUACCAACAAUUGCUUCCGUGUUUAGAAUUCUGUGGAGUCUGCUACCUGUGAGCAGACUCUGCUUAAAUUCUCUGAAACUACUGAUCGCUAACCUCAUUCUUGACAUACUUCACCCUCCAACAGCCUGCUGAAACUUCUGUUACACCUUCUGGGAAUCUAUCUAUAGUAAUUUCUUUCUCUCCCCACAUGGCUUCAAGCCAGAAAUAAAUCCAUUUGCACAAAUGCUUCUUAACCUUGCAGGUUUUUUUAAUUUUUUUUUUCUUUCUGCUUCUCUGGUUGUUGGAUGCUUUUCUAGUAAAUUCAGUACUUGCCGUGUUUGCUGUGUAAUGAACUGGUGGUUACAAUGCAUUUUCUAAACUACUGUUUGUUUCAGUUUUAGUGCACUGAAUAAAAUUAUUUCUCUGUUGUCAUUUUAUGGGCAUCUUACUGUAAUGUAGUCCAGGCUGGAUGGAGCUCUGAGCAACCCGGUCUAGUGAAGAGUGUCCCUCCUCAUGGAAUGAGAUCAUCUUUAAGGUCUCUUCCAACCCAGGCCAUUCUAUGACUCUGUGUACAUGUGUAUAGACACGCAUUAUAUGUAUAUAAACGUAUACAGUAUAGAACUGUAGGUUUAUCAGAAUUAAUUGAAAAUGAGCCAGCUUGGAUAUCAAUACCAACACCAUUACUGAGGAUACAUGUAUAGACACAUAGAGCAAACCUCAGCUGCAGCUGGGAAUUUCUCAGUGUUUCAGCUACCUAGAACCACCUAGGCAAAUAUUUGGCAUUAGAAAAUUAGGAGCAUUUUGAUUGGAGUGAUUAGGUUGAUGCAUAGCAGUUCUAUUGCAGAAGCAGGAACAGAUAGUCUGGAAUUUUCUGACUCCAGUUUUCACAACAAAUUAAAUAUGUUUUUCAUGCACUUCCUGUGAUCUCAAUUGUGAUGAAUGCUACACCAGAGUCCAGUCCAAGCUCUGAAAAAGCCAGAAAGUGUGUGGUGACAAAAAUAGUCACAUACCAUGGUUCCAUGACUGCAUGCUUGAUUGAGAACAAGGAUUCUGCAUUAAGAUUGUACAUAGGGCAGUGUGUGGCAUCUCUUACUAUGUUCUUCUGUGGGAUCUUAACCACAUUUAACUUCCAUUUUCAAUCAGAUCUCAACACUAGGAAAUAAAAAUGCAAAUUGUACCUCGUGCAAAAUUUGGUUUAUCUCCGACUUUGAUAAAUCCAGCCUUGCAGCUUCCAGUCCCUGGGGUGUCCAAAUA